rnacentral:rRNA from 1 species
CUCGUAGUUGAACCUUGGGCCUGGCUGGCCGGUCCGCCUCACCGCGUGCACUGGUCCGGCCGGGCCUUUCCUUCUGGGGAGCCGCAUGCCCUUCACUGGGUGUGUCGGGGAACCAGGACUUUUACUUUGAAAAAAUUAGAGUGUUCAAAGCAGGCCUAUGCUCGAAUACAUUAGCAUGGAAUAAUAGAAUAGGACGUGUGGUUCUAUUUUGUUGGUUUCUAGGACCGCCGUAAUGAUUAAUAGGGAUAGUCGGGGGCAUCAGUAUUCAAUUGUCAGAGGUGAAAUUCUUGGAUUUAUUGAAGACUAACUACUGCGAAAGCAUUUGCCAAGGAUGUUUUCAUUAAUCAGUGAACGAAAGUUAGGGGAUCGAAGACGAUCAGAUACCGUCGUAGUCUUAACCAUAAACUAUGCCGACUAGGGAUCGGGCGAUGUUAUUUUUUGACUCGCUCGGCACCUUACGAGAAAUCAAAGUUUUUGGGUUCUGGGGGGAGUAUGGUCGCAAGGCUGAAACUUAAAGAAAUUGACGGAAGGGCACCACCAGGAGUGGAGCCUGCGGCUUAAUUUGACUCAACACGGGGAAACUCACCAGGUCCAGACACAAUAAGGAUUGACAGAUUGAGAGCUCUUUCUUGAUUUUGUGGGUGGUGGUGCAUGGCCGUUCUUAGUUGGUGGAGUGAUUUGUCUGCUUAAUUGCGAUAACGAACGAGACCUUAACCUGCUAAAUAGCCAGGCUAGCUUUGGCUGGUCGCCGGCUUCUUAGAGGGACUAUCGGCUCAAGCCGAUGGAAGUU